UUAGAUACCCUAUUAUUUUUGAGCGUUAAUUUUUGUGCCUGAGUAGUAUUAGUUAUGUUCUUGAAACUUAAAGAAUUUGGCGGUAUCUUAUUCCAUUCAGAGGAAUCUGUCUCGUUAUCGAUAGUCCGCGUUGGACCUUACUUGGGGCUUAGUGGUUUGUAUACCGCCGUUUAUUGAUUGUCUUUUUAGAGUGUUGGUAAAUUUUCUGGUUUCUUUACUUUGGUUUAUUUCAGGUCAAGGUGCAGCCUUUCCCAAGUGUAUGAUGGAUUACAUUGUUAUUUGUUGUUUGGAUUGUUUGAUUUGAAUAUUUGCAUGAAAUUGGAUUUGGUUGUAAUGUUUUGUAGAUUGUUUUCAUGAUAAUUGGUUCUGAGAUAUGCACACAUCGCCCGUCGCUCUCG
rnacentral:rRNA from 1 species